rnacentral:rRNA from 1 species
UAGGGGCUACCCGGAACAAAUGGAUGGAGCGGUGAAAUGCGUAGAUAUCAUUUGGAACGCCAAUGGUGAAACACAGGUAGCUGGGAGUGUGCUGACGCUGAGACACGAAAGCCAGGGGAGCGAACGGGAUUAGAUACCCCGGUAGUCCUGGCCGUAAACGAUGUCGACUAGAUCGUGGCAGCUCUGACGUUGUCAUGGUCGAAGCAAAAGUGCUAAGUCGACCGCCUGGGAAGUACGGUCGCAAGGCAAAACUCAAAGGAAUUGACGGGGGCUCACACAAGCGGUGGAGCAUGUGGUUCAAUUCGAAGCAACGCGCAGAACCUUACCUGGGCUUGACAUGCUAGGAUUAUCCCUAUGAAAGUAGGGUAGGCCCUUCGGGAUACAACUAGUACAGGUGCUGCAUGGCUGUCGUCAGCACGUGUCGUGAGAUGUCGGGUUAAGUCCCUUAACGAGCGAAACCUUUGCCCUUAGUUACCAUCGGGUUAUGCCGGGGACUCUAAGGGGACUGCCGGUGUCAAACCGGAGGAAGGUGGAGAUGACGUCAAGUCCUCAUGGCCUUUAUGCCCAGGGCCACACACGUGCUACAAUGGCGUCCACAAAGCGAACCGAGAGCGCAAGCUGGAGGAAAUCGCACAAAUGACGCCCCAGUUCAGAUUGGAGGCUGCAACUCGCCUCCAUGAAGUUGGAAUCGCUAGUAAUCGCGGAUCAGCUACGCCGCGGUGAAUGUGUUCCUGAGCCUUGUACACACCGCCCGUCAAGUCAUGGGAGCCGGAAAUAGCCGAAGUGGCCACACCACUGUGGUCCCUACGCUAGGUUCGGUGACUGGGACUAAGUCGUAACAAGGUAGCCGU